rnacentral:rRNA from 1 species
GACGAACGCUGGCGGCGUGCUUAACACAUGCAAGUCGAACGGAAAGGCCCUGCUUUUGUGGGGUGCUCGAGUGGCGAACGGGUGAGUAACACGUGAGUAACCUGCCCUUGACUUUGGGAUAACUUCAGGAAACUGGGGCUAAUACCGGAUAGGAGCUCCUGCUGCAUGGUGGGGGUUGGAAAGUUUCGGCGGUUGGGGAUGGACUCGCGGCUUAUCAGCUUGUUGGUGGGGUAGUGGCUUACCAAGGCUUUGACGGGUAGCCGGCCUGAGAGGGUGACCGGCCACAUUGGGACUGAGAUACGGACCAGACUACUACGGGAGGCAGCAGUGGGGAAUAUUGCACAAGGGGCGGAAGACUGAUGCAGCAACGCCGCGUGCGGGAUGACGGCCUUCGGGUGGUAAACCGCUUUCGCCUGUGACGAAGCGUGAGUGACGGUAAUGGGUAAAGAAGCACCGGCUAACUACGU